rnacentral:rRNA from 1 species
UUCGCAAUGCCCGAAAGGGUGACGAAGCGACGCCGCGUGGGUGAGGAAGGCCUUCGGGUUGUAAAGCCCUGUCAGGAGUUAAGAAAUAUAAGUGUGUUAAUACCACAUUUAUUUGACGAAGGCUCCAAAGGAAGUCACGGCUAACUCUGUGCCAGCAGCCGCGGUAAUACAGAGGUGGCAAGCGUUGUUCGGAAUUAUUGGGCGUAAAGAGCACGUAGGUGGGUUUGUAAGUCAGAUGUGAAAGCCUCCUGUUCAACGGGAGAAUUGCAUCUGAAACUACAGAUCUUGAGUGUAGGAGGGGAGAAUGGAACUUCUGGUGGAGCGGUGAAAUGCGUAGAUAUCAGAAGGAACGCCGGCGGCGAAAGCGAUUCUCUAGUAUGUAACUGACACUGAGGUGCGAAAGCUAGGGGAGCAAACAGGAUUAGAUACCCUGGUAGUCCUAGCCGUAAACGAUGGGCACUAAGUAGAGGGGUUU